GACGAACGCUGGCGGCGUGCUUAACACAUGCAAGUCGAACGGAAAGGCCCUGCUUUUGUGGGGUGCUCGAGUGGCGAACGGGUGAGUAACACGUGAGUCACCUGCCAUUGACUUUGGGAUAACUUCAGGAAACUGGGGCUAAUACCGGAUAGGAGCUCCUGCUGCAUGGUGGGGGUUGGAAAGUUUCGGCGGUUGGGGAUGGACUCGAUGCUUAUCAGCUUGUUGGUGGGGUAGUGGCUUACCAUGGCUUUGAAGGGUAGCCGGCCUGAGAGGGUGACCAGCCACAUUGGGACAGAGAUACGGCCCAGACUCAUACGGGAGGCAGCAGUGGGGAAUAUUGCACAAUGGGCGGAAGCCUGAUGCAGCAACGCCGCGUACGUGAUGACGGCCUUCGGUUUGUAAACCGCUUUCGCCUGUGACGAAGCGUGAGUGACGGUAAUGUGUAAAGAAGCACCGGCUAACUACGUG
rnacentral:rRNA from 1 species